rnacentral:rRNA from 1 species
CCGUAACUAUAACGGUCCUAAGGUAGCGAAAUUCCUUGUCGGGUAAGUUCCGACCCGCACGAAAGGCGCAACGAUCUGGGCGCUGUCUCAACAAGAGACUCGGUGAAAUCAUAGUACCUGUGAAGAUGCAGGUUACCCGCGACAGGACGGAAAGACCCCGUGGAGCUUUACUGUAGCUUGAUAUUGAGCACUGGUGACACAUGUACAGGAUAGGUAGGAGACGAAGAAGCCAGGACGCCAGUCUUGGUGGAGUCGCUGUUGGGAUACUACCCUUGUGUUACUGGGGUUCUAACCCGUGGCCAUGAUCUGGUCAGGGAACAGUGUCAGGUGGGCAGUUUGACUGGGGCGGUCGCCUCCCAAAGAGUAACGGAGGCGCCCAAAGGUUCCCUCAGAAUGGUUGGAAAUCAUUCGAAGAGUGUAAAGGCAGAAGGGAGCUUGACUGCGAGACCUACAAGUCGAGCAGGGACGAAAGUCGGGCUUAGUGAUCCGGCGGUACCGAAUGGAAGGGCCGUCGCUCAACGGAUAAAAGCUACCCCGGGGAUAACAGGCUGAUCUCCCCCAAGAGUCCACAUCGACGGGGAGGUUUGGCACCUCGAUGUCGGCUCAUCGCAUCCUGGGGCUGUAGUCGGUCCCAAGGGUUGGGCUGUUCGCCCAUUAAAGCGGUACGCGAGCUGGGUUCAGAACGUCGUGAGACAGUUCGGUCCCUAUCCGUCGUGGGCGUAGGAAAUUUGAGAGGAGCUGUCCUUAGUACGAGAGGACCGGGAUGGACACACCGCUGGUGUACCAGUUGUUCUGCCAAGAGCAUAGCUGGGUAGCUAUGUGCGGACGGGAUAAGUGCUGAAAGCAUCUAAGCGUGAAGCCCCCCUCAAGAUGAGAUUUCCCAUUCGAAAGAAGUAAGAUCCCUUGAAGACGACAAGGUAGAUAGGUCAGAAGUGGAAGUGUGGUGACACAUGGAGCGGACUGAUACUAAUCGAUCGAGGACUUAACCAAA